GACGUAGGGCGCGAGCGUUGUCCGGAUUUAUUGGGCGUAAAGAGCUCGUAGGCGGCUUGUCGCGUCGACCGUGAAAACUCACAGCUCAACUGUGAGCUUGCGGUCGAUACGGGCAGGCUCGAGUUCGGUAGGGGAGACUGGAAUUCCUGGUGUAGCGGUGAAAUGCGCAGAUAUCAGGAGGAACACCGGUGGCGAAGGCGGGGUCUCUGGGCCGAUACUGACGCUGAGGAGCGAAAGCAUGGGGAGCGAACAGG
rnacentral:rRNA from 1 species